GCCUGGAUGGCUCAGUCAGUUGAGCGUCUGACUUCAGAUCAGGUCAUGAUCUCACAGUUCGUGAGAUCAACCCCUUUUUGGGCU
rnacentral:tRNA from 1 species